rnacentral:piRNA from 1 species
UCGGGGAAAGCCAGAGCUCUGGGUACGAC